AUGCAGGCGCACAGAGAAAAGCCAUUACGGCCCGCGCCGGGGCAUGUUUCUCUGAGAACAGUUCCGCUUGAGGAAGAAGUCCGGCGAAAGUUAAAUUUCACACAUUUCAGAGGCUGCCCAAGCAAGGCCGGGCUCCCUGAAAGCCGCCUUUGUCCGCGCCGCCGCCGCUGCCGCCCCCGCGCACGGAGCAUCCCGGGGCCGCGGGAGCGGAGCGGAGCAGAGCGGAGCAGAGCAUCACCCCGUGUGGGGUGCUGCGGGAUGGUGGCCGGAGCUGCCGGUGGGACCCUGUGGCCGCAUCCCCCCGAGCACACCGCACGGGCCCACGGGAAAAGCCGGGUGCUGGCCGCGUCCCGGGAACCAGCCGGCACCGGGGCCGGCACCGGCUGGGAUUCGGGUGAAAGAGCAGGGAGAAGGGGCAGCCCGCGCUGCCGGCGGGGCCGGGGUUUCGGCGUGCCGGCGGCGCUGAGCCCUGAGUCACGGCGCCGCUUCCGGCAGCGCCGCCAGGUCUCCCCGGCCGGUGUUUACCGAGCCCAACCCCGCCGGCUCGGAGAUCGCCCGCUCGCAGGCRGCGCGGUGGCAGCAGCAAGGGCGGCCACGAGCGAGCAAAGCGGCUCCUGCGACCCCGGCGCCGGCGCUGUGCCGAGCGGGCCGGCGCUCGAGCAAGAUGCGGCAAGUUUUCCCAUCCAACAGGGCCGCUUUUACGAGCAAAAUUUCAAGCUUCGCAUAGUUCCCCGCCCCUCGCGGYGCAAACGGUCUCUCCUGCCCCGAGGACGGGGGCGAGCGGCAGCGCCGAGCGCCGGGGACGUGCCAGGCUCCCGGCCCUUCCCGGGGCUCCCGGCUCCUGCCCGCCCGCGUCCUUCGCCAAAACCAGCCGGCUCCUGCUCCUUAGCGAUUGCCAACGGCUCGAGUUUGCGCGUUGCCACUGGGCUGUCCAGGAAAGCUGCUGGACUGAAGAAACACCAGGACGUCCAGACCGAAGUGCCGCUCUCGCGGCCGYGGGGAGCCCGGCGGGUCGCCGGAUCCGCAGGGGGGAGCACCGGGCCGGCGGAGGGGCCCGGAGAGCCCCGGGUGCCGGAGGGAGGCGCCGUGCGGGCUCCCGGUGCCGGCUCCCGGUGCCGGUGGGUGAUCCAUCAGCGGCAGCCCCAGAGGGAGGUUGCUGAGGGCACUGGGGGGAUGAGGGAAGGAGACAGGAUAAAAAUCACCGCGCUAGCGGGGCCRAGGGAGGGAGCGCCGGGAAGAUAG
rnacentral:lncRNA from 1 species